rnacentral:rRNA from 1 species
AGAGUUUGAUCAUGGCUCAGGAUGAACGCUAGCUACAGGCUUAACACAUGCAAGUCGAGGGGCAGCAUUCCAGUUUGCUUGCAAACUGGAGAUGGCGACCGGCGCACGGGUGAGUAACACGUAUCCAACCUGCCGAUAACUCGGGGAUAGCCUUUCGAAAGAAAGAUUAAUACCCGAUGGCAUAAUAGAACCGCAUGGUUUGAUUAUUAAAGAAUUUCGGUUAUCGAUGGGGAUGCGUUCCAUUAGGCAGUUGGUGGGGUAACGGCCCACCAAACCUUCGAUGGAUAGGGGUUCUGAGAGGAAGGUCCCCCACAUUGGNNCUGAGACACGGUCCAAACUCCUACGGGAGGCAGCAG